rnacentral:rRNA from 1 species
AUGCGCCCGAUCCCCACCAUCGCCAGCGCGCCCGGUCGCUGGACCACCGCUGGCCUGCUUCCCCUCCUGCAACCUCGUCCCCGAGGCCAGCCGGAGCCCCCGCCACCAUCUUGCUUCGUCGCCCGCGACCUCCUCCUCCUGGAUCUGCUCCGACCCCUGGAUCCCCCUCGCCCGUUCGCCUCCUCCCUCAACCAAGCCGGUCACCGGAGCCGUUGCCGGCUGCUGCCCUUCGUCGCGCCAUCCAUCCGUCCAUCUCCCUGUGCCGCGCCUCGACAACAUGGAGGCCCGAGCUUCGGCUGGGAGUAG